UCUCAAAAAAAAAAAAAAAAAAAAAAAAAACCAAAAAAAACCAAAAACAAUAUUUUUUUUAAAGCUUUUAACAAAAUAGACAGCAGACUCUUAUCUUCCUACUUUCUCCUAUGAUAUACUCCUACUUCCUACCCCCUUUUAAAAUUUUUUAAUUUAAUUUUUAAAUUUUGAGACUGAGUCUUACUGUGUGGUCCAGGUUGGCCUGGAACUGGCUAUGUAGACCAUUUUGCUUUGAAUUUAUAGAGAUCUGCCUGUCUCUGCCUCCUAAGCACAGACUAAAGGUGUAUGUCACCUCCGUGAUUUCUUGACUCUCCUGCCCUUUUCUAAUUCUGGCUAUGGAGGAGGAGACAUGCUAGGCUCUAUGUCCAUAUGGUCUUAUGACCUUGGUUGGCCUGUCAGUCUCAAUGUACUGAAGAUCCUCUCUCUCUCCACAGUGAGGAUGCUGGAAUUUAUUCUGUAGGGUCCAUUUCCACUUGUUUUCUCUGAUUCUAGUGCCCAUAAAACCUGCCCUGAAGGGUUGCUAUAGGAGCAACUGGUGGGUGGAGCUGCUAUGUAUUACUGGUUGAGUGUUCCUUGUCCAAGUGCAUAGGACCAAAAGUACCUUAGAGUUUGACAUCCUUGUAUUCAUAAGUAGAUAUUUUGAGGAUGAAAUACAAAUCUACACACAGAAUUAAUUUAUUUCCUAGGUGUUUGUGCAGUGAAAUAAUUGUGUAUUAUAUUUUGCUUUUUGGCUGUAACCUGCUACAUGAAUUUUUCACAUGUGGUAUCAUGUCAGUGCUCAGAAGUGUUGAUUUUCAGAGCCUUAAGGAUUUCAGGGUUUCUGAUUGGAGGUGAUCAGCUCUUGCUGUCUUGGAUGUGGCUCAGUGGAUCUUUGCUCAUCUGUCAGAGGAGGAAUCCUCCUACUAAAGGUUCUGUUAUGUGUGCUCACAUGGAGGACAGGUAAGAGUAGUAACAGUGUUCUCUAAAGAGUGUAGCUACUUCUUCACAGAGUCCAUUGUAGCUGAUAUGUACCCUUUCCAAUGAGACAAGCCGGUCCAUGGUUGACCCCUGUAGAUACUGGCAGGGGCUUCAGAUGGCUCUUUUGUUGCAGCUCUCUGCUCCUACUGGUCUGUGUUACCCUUCCUGGAUCAGUUUGGUUGACAGUAGAACCUUAUAGAUCUGCUGUCAUUCGUCUUGUUGAUGGAGUGGUUGGCAUACAGAACAGGUAAAUGGUGUGCCUCAAAAACCAUCCCAUCUCCUGAGGACAGCAGGAGGACAGUCUCCCCUGCUGUAAGCAUCCUAACUCAUUAAGAUCAUGUCCUGCUUUCUUAAAUUCUGUUUGUCUGCUUCAGCAACACAACAUAAAAACUGAGCUUCAAUGUAGAGAGGCAGCUCUCACAUGAGUGGACGGAUUGGAGGGAAGGGAUAGUUAAAGCCCUGAGGGAUUCAGUAUCUGCUCAUUUUUAUUUUCAGAUUAUCAAAACUAAGGAAAGGGCUUACACGGCUUUCUGAAUGGUUUUAAAAUUACUUAGCUUGAUAACAGGUGGUUUAUGCUAGGGACCACUUACAUGGUCACAAUUACAUUGAUACUUGUUUAUUGUUCUGUGGGCCACUUCUCAAGCAUCCUUCAGUUAACUCAGGCAUCAUUAAGGUUUUUUUUUCUGUCUCCCGGGAUUUUCUGCUGAUCUUCAGUGCCAUUUUCUUAAUGAAGAUUGGAGCAAGCAAAUCCCACUAAACUAUGCUGCACUUUUGCCAUUGGGUUGAAACAAAAUAGUUUGUUGUGGAUCCAUCCCACCAGUGAAAUGAAGACCUUUAACAACAUC
rnacentral:lncRNA from 1 species